UCCCCUAGUAACUGCGAGUGAAGCGGGAAAAGCUCAAAUUUAAAAUCUGAUGGUCUUUGACCGUCCGAGUUGUAGUCUAGAGAAGUGAUACCCGCGCUGGACCAUGUGCAAGUCUCCUGGAAUGGGGCAUCAUAGAGGGUGAGAAUCCCGUCUUUGACAUGGACUACCAGGGCUUUGUGGUGAGCUCUCAAAGAGUCGAGUUGUUUGGGAAUGCAGCUCAAAAUGGGUGGUAAAUGCCAUCUAAAGCUAAAUAUUGGCGAGAGACCGAUAGCGAACAAGUACCGUGAGGGAAAGAUGAAAAGAACUUUGGAAAGAGAGUUAAACAGUACGUGAAAUUGCUGAAAGGGAAACGCUUGAAGUCAGUCGCAUCGACUGGAAAUCAACCAUGCUUUUGCUUGGCAUACUUUCCAGCUGGUGGGUCAGCAUCAUUUCCGAUAGCUGGACAAAGGCUUGGGGAAUGUGGCAUCUUAGGAUGUGUUAUAGCCCUUGGUCGCAUACAGCUGUUGGGAUUGAGGAACUCAGCACGCCGCGAGGCCAGGUCUUUCAUAGAUCAUGUUCGUGCUUGGGAUGCUGGCAUAAUGGCUUUAAUCGACCCGUCUUGAAACACGGACCAAGGAGUCUAACAUGCCUGCGAGUGUUUGGGUGGAAAACCCAUGCGCGCAAUGAAAGUGAAACAGGUUGAGAUCCCUGUCAUGGGGAGCAUCGACGCC
rnacentral:rRNA from 1 species